rnacentral:lncRNA from 1 species
CAGAACUCAGUUUGUUCUCACCGAGAGAAGCUUCCAGAUACUUCUCUGAUUAGGCAGAGAUGGAGAAGCCAGGUCUCCGUUCUCUCAAGAAGCGCUAGUGAUCACCCUCAGAUGGAGAAUAAAGGCCAGCCCUUCGCUCUGGGGAAAGGGCGUAACAGCAGCUUUUCGAGGGCUCGGCAAGGUCCCCCUUUCCUCAUAGGACUCUGGGGAUAGGGAGAACAGUUUGCAUAUGGAAUUCACAGCCCUUCUGAAUAGGAAGGAGAAGACAACCCAAGCACAUAGGAAGCAUUCCGUAAAUGUCAGUUAUGAUUGAUGAAGGACUUGCAUAAAACAAAGAGGAAACAGCCAAGUGACAACCAGGAAUUAGCUCAUCUGACUUUGGAGUCAGGGUUUACUCUCUGGGGCUCACAGACCAUAUUCUUCCUUUCUUCCAAAGUUGGCACCAAAUUAGGGUCUCUGCCCUUAGAAGCCCCCUCCACUUAUUCCCCUGGACAACAUCAAGCCCAGAGAGAUGGGCAGCCCUGCCCCAGGAUUUUAGAUCUGAGGCCUCAGCAGUCCUCAGGCUGAAUGACACUGGAAAUGACCAGUUCUUUAUGGGAGACUCCACCUUCCCCAGGAUCCCUUGGGACCGGCCUGCGCGGGAUAACUCCUUGCCUUCAUUCUCCUGCUAGCCUCAUUGCCUUUGCACAAGCUCUUCCCUCUGCCUGGAACACUUGUUGCUUCAGGAGUCGGCUCGAUGUAACUUCUGCGGGGACCUAAGCCCCAAUCCAAAUUAGACACCUGGUUAUUGUAGCAGCCUGUAUCUCACCGUCCCAGAAUGAAUCAUGACUGCAAUGAAAACGAUGGCAUGAGCAUUUGUUACCAUCAGGCUUCCGCCCUAGAUUAUGAGCUCCCUGAGGACAAGCAGAGGGUUCAUCUCUCUUCAUAGCCAGAACCCAGCACAGCGCCUGGCACACAGGA